AUUGGAGCGGCCGAUGGCAGAUUAGGUAGUUGGUGGGAUAAAAGCUUACCAAGCCGACGAUCUGUAGCUGGUCUGAGAGGACGACCAGCCACACUGGGACUGAGACACGGCCCAGACUCCUACGGGAGGCAGCAGUGGGGAAUUUUGGACAAUGGGCGAAAGCCUGAUCCAGCAAUGCCGCGUGCAGGAUGAAGGCCUUCGGGUUGUAAACUGCUUUUGUACGGAACGAAAAAGCUCCUUCUAAUACAGGGGGCCCAUGACGGUACCGUAAGAAUAAGCACCGGCUAACUACGUGCCAGCAGCCGCGGUAAUACGUAGGGUGCGAGCGUUAAUCGGAAUUACUGGGCGUAAAGCGUGCGCAGGCGGUUAUGUAAGACAGAUGUGAAAUCCCCGGGCUCAACCUGGGAACUGCAUUUGUGACUGCAUGGCUAGAGUACGGUAGAGGGGGAUGGAAUUCCGCGUGUAGCAGUGAAAUGCGUAGAUAUGCGGAGGAACACCGAUGGCGAAGGCAAUCCCCUGGACCUGUACUGACGCUCAUGC
rnacentral:rRNA from 1 species